rnacentral:rRNA from 1 species
UGUGUCCUACGGGAGGCAGCAGUGAAGAAUAUUGGUCAAUGGCCGGAAGGCUGAACCAGCCAAGUCGCGUGAGGGAAUAAGGCCCUAUGGGUCGUAAACCUCUUUUGUCAGGGGGCAAAGGCGUCCACGUGUGGACGAGAGGAGAGUACCUGAAGAGAAAGCAUCGGCUAACUCCGUGCCAGCAGCCGCGGUAAUACGGAGGAUGCGAGCGUUAUCCGGAUUUAUUGGGUUUAAAGGGUGCGUAGGCGGAGUGUCAAGUCAGCGGUAAAAUUUCGGGGCUCAACCCCUUCGUGCCGUUGAAACUG